GGACAGAUGGGAGAGUGGUUUAAUCUAGUCGCCUGGAACGCGGCCGUACGCGAGUACCGGGGGUUCGAAUCCCCCUCUGUCCGCCA
rnacentral:tRNA from 1 species